rnacentral:rRNA from 1 species
GACGAACGCUGGCGGCAGGCCUAACACAUGCAAGUCGAGCGAACCCUUCGGGGUUAGCGGCGGACGGGUUAGUAACGCGUGGGAAUAUACCCUUUGGUACGGAAUAGCCUCGGGAAACUGAGAGUAAUACCGUAUGUGCCCUUGGGGGAAAGAUUUAUCGCCAAAGGAUUAGCCCGCGUUGGAUUAGAUAGUUGGUGGGGUAAUGGCCUACCAAGUCUACGAUCCAUAGCUGGUUUGAGAGGAUGAUCAGCAACACUGGGACUGAGACACGGCCCAGACUCCUACGGGAGGCAGCAGUGGGGAAUCUUAGACAAUGGGCGCAAGCCUGAUCUAGCCAUGCCGCGUGGACGAUGAAGGCCUUAGGGUUGUAAAGUCCUUUCAGAUGGGAAGAUAAUGACGGUACCAUCAGAAGAAGCCCCGGCUAACUCCGUG